UUUUUCCUCUCAGACAUGGAGGACAGAAGAUGGCUGGACAGUCAUUUAACAAGAAAGUUCAUGGAUAUGGAGCCACAUGGAAUAUUGAAGGACGUUGACUCUCAGGAAUUUGGUCUCAACAGCUCACGCAAGGUGCCUCAACAUGAGAUGGAGGUGUAAGAUGUGUAGUUUUGAAUCAGACAAGCGAAUAGGAUUGUUAAAACACUAUAGAUCAAAGAUGAGUUCAGAAGGACAACAACAGUUCAUCUAGAGCGAACCUUUUUGUCAAAACUGGACACACACACUCUCAAACUCCUGGAGAUAUUUAGGACAAAGGACAUCAGACCGAUGCUGGAUUCACUUGACCAGG